UGACGGCAGCAAGCAUGUCUCUUGAGACUUUGAGAGUCUUGCCGUACAUUUACAUCUUAGGAGUUAGGACAUUCUUAUCUUUCAAGCGAAAUGCCAGGCCACUGAGUAGAGGACAGCAGGACAGCUGUGGUUUCGAUCACAGUGAUAGAUUUAUCAUGUAUUGGAAUAUUGGUUAGCACGUUAGCCUAACGUAAAAGAUCAGGAGAAAUUCUUUGUCUACCAAUGUGAUCCGAUGCAAGCCGUUUAUCGCGUUACCUGCUAUGUGCUAUUGUUGCUUGGGAAUGAAGUAGCCAAAACACAUGCAAUUUUUUCGAAGUCCAACCCUACCUUUUUUCAUUUUAUUUCAAGUAAAAUCACAAAACAGGGAUUGUGCUAAAGUUUUCUUAGCGAAGACGGCGAAGACUUAACAGAACUAAAGAAAACCUCCAAUCAUUCUCAACGUGUCUCGGCAAUAUCCACUUGCCGUUCGGCACCCAAUAGACCGAUUGGAGAUGAUGUAACCAAGAUUGACAUCAAAGCAUACAUGUUCAUUGAUGACAAAAGAACUUUGGCUAUCAAAACAGUUUUUCCAAAGUUUGGUGUAAUAUUUUAAUAAUACACAGAAUGUUGAUAACACAAUUAACAAUAUGAGCUGAGCUACGUCGUGACGCUUCUUACUUUGAGCUCUUAGCAACAAUGUUUUGCUGUGAUGAUAGACAAUGAUGACAAAUAACGUGGAUAAGUAGUCGGGAAGAAGUAGCAGACCUGACGUGUCGAUGCAGACCGAUCAAACAAGAAGAUAACAAGAGGGUUGCGGGACCAGAAAAGAACAGGCAAGCCGCUAAGUUGCUAGAUUAAACAGUUUAUUAGAGGUAAGAACAUAACUUCAAAAAUAAACCCUCUAAAAUACUAGUGUCCCAAUUACGCAAUCGACUAUAUGACGGCACAAAAUGAGAUUCUUUUCCAAUAAAAACAAAUUUCAUUUUCAGGCGUCGUGAAUUCCAUCUAUAAAUGCAGCAAGAUGUUCCGGAUCCACGUCGGGAUAUAUACCGUGUCCAAGAUUCGCUAUGUAACGUUGGCUACCAAAUCGAUGAACCAUAUUUUUGGCAAUCACUUGAAUGCUUUCCUAAGAAGGUAAAUUAACGGACAUUUAACAGCCAUGUAAAAAAUUCCGAAGGUCCUAUGCAGCCGAUGCAACUGAAACGGAACACCGUACCUUUGUUCCGUAAAGGGCACAAGGGUCCAUAUUUCCUUGUACAGUAAUGUUAGGUCCAACCUUUUGUCGACCUUCGUCGGGCUUUAUCGUCCAAUCAAGCCCAAUAAUAUCAUAGCCAACAGAACUGAGCUGCUCAAGAGAGAAAUGCCCUCCUUUCGGAAAGAUGCACUAAAGAAACUUUACAGACUUAGAACAGCAAAACAAAUAAAAAAUGGGAGGAUGGGUGGAGUAGCAUUUUGCUUCAGUUUACCAUUGGAACGUCUACUUUUGUUCGUACGCGUUCCUGGAUCUGCUUGAUGUAGGGAAGUGCAAACUGUGUAAAAAGAUCGGGACUCAAGUACUCGGCGUGAGAUUCAAACACCUGCAACAUCUACUAAAGAAUCCAAUAUGAUUAAAAGGUUUACAUUUCUAACAGGAUAAAUUGUAUAUAACCUGGGCGCCGGCUCUAACUUGUCCAACCAAAAAGUCAACUAUAGCAUCUGUUAAUAUUUGCAGCAAUUUGUGAGAUUCAUCUGGAUAUCGAUACAGCCAUGCUUUUGACUUUGACAUUGUUUUAGAACCACCUCCCUCAAUCAUGUAGCUCAUAAGCGUCCACUAAUUAACAAAAAAAUGAGUUAUAAACUACACUUUCAACAAAUAGCAUUUAACUCACUUACAGGUGCACCUGCAAACCCAAUUAAAGGAACUUUUCCUUCCAAUUUGUGACGAGUUAGAUUUAUGGCUUUAAAAACAUAGCCUAAUUUGUCAUCUACAUUCACGGGGGUUUCCAACAUGUUUAGAUCUUCUGGUGUAACCAGGGGUGAUGUAAAAACUGGCCCUUCGCCUGCUUUCAUAAGAACUUCCAUGCCUAAUGCCUGUGGAACCACUAGAAUAUCUGAGAAGAUUAUAGCUGCAUCUAGAGGGAACCUUCUGAUGGGUUGUAGGGUUAUUUCACAUGCAACUUCUGGUGUUCGGCACAUUGAGAAAAAAUCAUGGUUCACCCUUGUAGCACGAAACUCUAAAUAACAUGUCAUGAAAAAUGAAUCAAUCACCACAAACUAAUAAAUAUGAAAAAAACCUGGUAAAUAUCGCCCGGCUUGUCUCAUGA
rnacentral:lncRNA from 1 species